rnacentral:rRNA from 1 species
AUUGAACGCUGGCGGCAUGCCUUACACAUGCAAGUCGAACGGUAACAGGUCUUUGGAUGCUGACGAGUGGCGAACGGGUGAGUAAUACAUCGGAACGUGCCUAGUAGUGGGGGAUAACUACUCGAAAGAGUGGCUAAUACCGCAUGAGAUCUACGGAUGAAAGCAGGGGAUCGCAAGACCUUGUGCUACUAGAGCGGCCGAUGGCAGUAUAGGAAGUUGGUGGGAUAAAAGCUUACCAAGCCGACGAUCUAUAGCUGGUCCGAGAGGACGAUCAGCCACACUGGAACUGUGACACGGCCCAGACUCCUACGGGAGGCAGCAGUGGGGAAUUUUGGACAAUGGGAGAAAGCCUGAUCCAGCAAUGCCGCGUGCAAGAUGAAGGCCUUCGGGUUGUAAACUGCUUUUGUACGGAGAGAAAAGCUCUGGGUUAAUACCCUGGGGUCAUGACGGUACCGUAAGAAUAAGCACCGGCUAACUACGUGCCAGCAGCCGCCGUAAAAC